rnacentral:rRNA from 1 species
UACGGGGGGAGCAAGCGUUAUCCGGAGUUACUGGGCGUAAGGGGCGUGUAGGUGGUUACGUAAGUCUGGCGUGAAAUUUUUCGGCUUAACCGGGAAAGGUCGUCGGAUACUGCGGGACUAGAGGACGGUAGAGGCGUGUGGAAUUCCGGGUGUAGUGGUGAAAUGCGUAGAGAUCCGGAGGAACACCAGUGGCGAAGGCGACACGCUGGGCCGUACCUGACACUGAUGCGCGACAGCAUGGGGAGCAAACAGG